rnacentral:tRNA from 1 species
UGCGGAGUUGGUGGAACGGCAGACACGUAUGCUUCAGGCGCAUAUGUCCAUGAUGGACGUGAGGGUUCAAAUCCCUUACUCCGCAU